CAUCAAAGGCAGUUUAGUGUGCCAAGAAGUAGGAGAAGAGAGAGAAACAAACUAAAAAAACUUUGAGAGGGAAAGAGAGGGAUAACUUAGGGUUUUAUUUUUUUCCCGAUUGUAAAUUUCAAUUCAUGGAAUCGAAGCCCUAAGUCUAAUAAUCUCGUCAUGGAUGGCGCACGUUUGGGUGAAUUACUAGCGUGCACCACCUAGAGUUCCAUGGAAAAAAGGGGUCGGCCGAGGAAGAAUCCGGCGCCUCCGAGCAAUGGCCAGUCUUCGUUGAAGGUACCUGCUACUGCUCAGCCUCAAGUGACACCAGUCGGUGUUUCUCCAGUUGAAGCUUCGCUGAAUGGGUCUACUGCCGGAGCUGUGCGAAAUUCGAUUCAGCCUCCGUCAGUUCGUCCGCUUGAUCUGCCUGUCACUCCACCGAUUCCAGAACAUCAGCCCAUAUCAAGGAAUGGAGCGUGUUCACGAGGUAUGAGAUUAUCUUUCAUACCCCCAAUUUUGAAGAAUGGAUAACCUGUGGCUUGUUUACAGAAAGAGAUUGUUAAUCUCGUCAUGGAUUACUCCAUUUCAAACCAAUUCGAAAUCUUUGAUAUCUGUCAACGAUUAUGCGCUUUUUCUCAGCACACAACAAACUUUGUUAUCUACUUCCACCAUUUCUUCUUACACAAAGAUAUCAGCUGCAAACAGGAGCGCAAACUGAGUUAUUGUUGCAAAUAUUCACAUAGACAGCUGAGGUAAAACUGUAACAAGAUUUCACUUUCUGUUUCGGACCCUUCAAGAAUAAUCCCCUCUUGGCUUACAACAUCCGCGUCAGCGGAUUCUCUUCUACUGAAAGAGGAAGCAUGGAAUGCAUAUCAAAAAUGCAAAUCAGGUAACCUUUAAUUUAUAACCCUGUUUUCUUCUGAUAGACAUUUUAUUCUCAUAACAUAUGCUGAUAUAUUUGUUCUGUCUAUCUGAAACUGGACAUGAACAUCUAGUGAUCAAGGUAAAUUUUCUUACUGCUCACAGAAAUAUUCCAUAUUGUAUUUUGCUCCGCUGAUUUAUGUGCUUACUAAUUACUAAUUAUGCAGUGUUCACGCUUAAGCAAGCUGCUUCUUUCUAUAGAUACUAUUCACGUGGCGGAUAAUGGAAAAUAAGAAAAUUGUCCUCGGCAAAAGAAUGUCAUGGAUUCUGGAUAUUAUGUCAUGAGAUACAUGAAAGAGAUCAUCGUCCAUAAGCAAACUCGGAUAUUUGAAGAUGUAUGUAUUUUUCUUUGUUCAAUUAAGCUUAGACAUUAUUAUAUGCAUUGUUACUAAUUAU